GUCCCUGUAGAGCUUUGGAUAGCGUGUUGAACUUCUAAUCCAAAGGUCAUGUGCUCGAAUCCCAACUGGGAUA